rnacentral:misc_RNA from 1 species
CAGAGUUAUCAAACUCCCAACCCAUUGUGAACUUAUCUAUAGUUGCUUCGGCGCAAGUACGGGACCUCGCGCAGGGAGCGGACCGCCGGAGGAAAUCCAAACUCUUGUUAUUUAGUUGCAUCUCUGAGUAGUCUUAUAAUAAGUUA